rnacentral:rRNA from 1 species
CACGUAGGAGGCAAGCGUUAUCCGGAUUUACUGGGCGUAAAGCGCGUGUAGGCGGCUCGGAUAGUUGGAUGUGAAAGCUCCUGGCUUAACUGGGAGAGGUCGUUCAAUACUUCCGGGCUUGAGAGUGGUAGAGGGAGGUGGAAUUCCGAGUGUAGUGGUGAAAUGCGUAGAUAUUCGGAGGAACACCAGUGGCGAAAGCGGCCUCCUGGACCAUUUCUGACGCUCAGACGCGAAAGCUAGGGUAGCAAACGGG